CAGGUAAUUUUACACAAAAACACAUCAGGUGUCUUACAUUGUUCCUACAAGCUGAUUUUGAGGGAUAAUGCCUGACUUUACUGCAGAGAGUCUUGGCUGGUCUGUAAACUGAAACAGAACAGCAGUAUAUCUUCAGAAGAGGAGAAGAUACAACCAGUGAUGUUUGUCAUUUUCGCAGCUGCUGAUUCAUUUUCCGUGGAUUGACUUUCAGCUUUACAUGCAAGGUCCAGUGUGUAACAUUGAGGAGGAUCUAUUGUCAGAAAUGGAAUAUAAUAAUCAUAGGUAUGUUUUCAUUAGUGUGUAAUCACCUGAAAAUAAGAACGGUUGAGUGUUUGUUACUUUAGAAUGAGCUGUGUUUAUCUACAGAGGGAGCUGGUCCUCUUCUACCGAGGCCGCCAUGUUGAACCGCCACGUUUCUACAGUAGCCCAGAAUGGACAAACCAAACACUGGCUCUAAAAAUGCUUUCAUGCUUUUUAUUAAUUGGCCAUGACAAUAAAUGCUUUUUAAUAUAUUCC